GAUGAACGCUGGCGGCGUGCCUAAUACAUGCAAGUCGAGCGAACGGACGAGAAGCUUGCUUCUCUGAUGUUAGCGGCGGACGGGUGAGUAACACGUGGAUAACCUACCUAUAAGACUGGGAUAACUUCGGGAAACCGGAGCUAAUACCGGAUGAUAUUUUGAACCGCAUGGUUCAAAAGUGAAAGACGGUCUUGCUGUCACUUAUAGAUGGAUCCGCGCUGCAUUAGCUAGUUGGUAAGGUAACGGCUUACCAAGGCAACGAUGCAUAGCCGACCUGAGAGGGUGGCGGACCACAAGGGACCGGAACCCGGGACCGGCUCCCGAGGGGGGGAAGAAGGAGGGAUUCUUCAGCAAGGGCCGAAGGCCGGAGGGAGCACCCCGGGGUGAUGAAGAAGGGUUUUGGAAUCUAAAAACUCUUUUAUAGGGAAAAAACAUUUGUGAAAGAACUGGGGCACAUCUGCACGGUCCCUAAUAAGAAACCCACGCCAAACUCCGGC
rnacentral:rRNA from 1 species